rnacentral:rRNA from 1 species
GGGUGAGUAACACGUGGGUAACUGCCCUAAAGUCUGGGAUACCACUUGGAAACAGGUGCUAAUACCGGAUAACAACAAUAGCUGCAUGGCUAUUGCUUAAAAGGCGGCGAAAGCUGUCGCUAAAGGAUGGACCCGCGGUGCAUUAGCUAGUUGGUAAGGUAAUGGCUUACCAAGGCGACGAUGCAUAGCCGAGUUGAGAGACUGAUCGGCCACAUUGGGACUGAGACACGGCCCAAACUCCUACGGGAGGCAGCAGUAGGGAAUCUUCCACAAUGGGCGAAAGCCUGAUGGAGCAACGCCGCGUGAGUGAAGAAGGUUUUCGGAUCGUAAAGCUCUGUUGUUGGUGAAGAAGGAUAGAGGUAGUAACUGGCCCCUAUUUGACGGUAAUCAACCAGAAAGUCACGGCUAACUACGUGCCAGCAGCCGCGGUAAUACGUAGGUGGCAAGCGUUGUCCGGAUUUAUAGGGCGUAAAGCGAGCGCAGGCGGAAAGAUAAGUCUGAUGUGAAAGCCCCCGGCUUAACCGAGGAAUUGCAUCGGAAACUGUGUUUCUUGAGUGCAGAAGAGGAGAGUGGAACUCCAUGUGUAGCGGUGGAAUGCGUAGAUAUGUGGAAGAACACCAGUGGCGAAGGCGGCUCUCUGGUCUGUAACUGACGCUGAGGCUCGAAAGCAUGGGUAGCGAACAGGAUUAGAUACCCUGGUAGUCCAUGCCGUAAACGAU